rnacentral:rRNA from 1 species
GAUGAACGCUGGCGGCGUGCCUAAUACAUGCAAGUCGAGCGAACGGACGAGAAGCUUGCUUUUCUGAUGUUAGCGGCGGACGGGUGAGUAACACGUGGAUAACCUACCUAUAAGACUGGGAUAACUUCGGGAAACCGGAGCUAAUACCGGAUAAUAUUUUGAACCGCAUGGUUCAAAAGUGAAAGACGGUCUUGCUGUCACUUAUAGAUGGAUCCGCGCUGCAUUAGCUAGUUGGUAAGGUAACAGCUUACCAAGGCAACGAUGCAUAGCCGACCUGAGAGGGCGAUCGGCCACACUGGAACUGAGACACGGUCCAGACUCCUACGGGAGGCAGCAGUAGGGAAUCUUCCGCAAUGGGCGAAAGCCUGACGGAGCAACGCCGCGUGAGUGAUGAAGGUCUUCGGAUCGUAAAACUCUGUUAUUAGGGAAGAACAUAUGUGUAAGUAACUGUGCACAUCUUGACGGUACCUAAUCAGAAAGCCACGGCUAACUACGUG